GUUAAUUACACGAAACAUGAAUAUAUACUCGUUCGAAAUAAAUUAGAUCCAUUUGGUCUUACACCUUGCAUACUGGCACUUUACCCACUCGUUAUUAUAAAAGUAACGAAAGCAUUGUAGUCUCAUAACAUACGCGUUUACGUUACUUAAAACCUAAUCCGCAUACACUAAUUUACAAGAGAACAAUUUAGGGCGUUCUGACUCAAUGAAAAUAUUUCUUCGUCGCCUUUUUCGUCAUUAUUAACAUUGUCCCUAGUUUCGAUACAUUGCACUUAAACAUAUUUAACUGUAAUCCUUUAUAUAUUUAGGAAUCGUCAGGCUGUAUAUAUGUGUGUGUGUGUGUGUAUAUGUAUAUAUAUUAUGCAUGCAAGCGUAUGUGCCUGUGUUUGUGGGUGUACAAUCGUUCUCUUCCCAUGUCACACUAUCAUUAUUGAAGUGAUCCGAGCUAAAAUCCUGUUUAAUCUGUGUAAUUACGUCAUCACCGAUCGAAGAAUGAACGGUUAUAAAUCGCGUCCAAGGACAAUGCUCGUUCUAUUUUCAGUUGGGAGGGGAGGGGGAGGGUAACUCGAUACACACGAUACAUAUUUCCUGCCGUGGAUACAUUUUUCCCUCGACACGGCGCGCGAUCGUGUACAUAUUAUGCCUACACACGCCUACGCCAUGCGUGGAUGAGUGCAAAUGAUCUCUCUCUUAAUAGCUACUUAUUAUCAUCGGGAGCUUGCAACACAUUACACAAUCAUUCUACUAUUCACACCGCCGAAUAAUACCAUUAUACAUUAGUGCAUUAUGACGCGAAAUAGAAAACACUUAGUCAUAAGGCAUCGAAUCGAUUCCAUCUAAUUUGUUACGUUGUUAAACCGGGAAUAGUCGCGCGCGCGCGCGCGCAAGAAGCAAUUCCGCAAGCGACAAGGACUUUUAACUGAACGAAAGUCGGAGAUUCGAGAGUGUCGGCAGGACGGGCUGUCGUGCAGUUUAUAUACGGUUGACACUGCUGUUUACGGGAAACGACAUUAUGCGCGUUAUAUACUUCGUUUAUCGGCGUAUUCCCCGCACGACCGCACAACGGAACAAAACCGCACAGCUAUUCCGGAUAUAACGACGGACUUGUUUUGUCAAACGUUAAAAUGCGAAAUCAAUCUCAUCGACGCAGAGAGAAUGACGACUACCAAAAAAAA